AGGGCAAUGAUAUGGACGAGGU
rnacentral:miRNA from 12 species